ACGUGACGUUGUGACGUGACGUUGUGAUGACAUUGUGAUGACGUUGUGAUGACGUUGUGAUGACGUUGUGAUGACGUUUUUGUCUCGCAGAGGCCAAACCGCUCGACACUUCUGGAAGCGGAGAAGAGGGAGAAGAGAGCCCUGGAGAGGAAACGGUCGGAGAUGGAGGAGGACCUCAAGAGUCUCCCGGACCUCAAGGCCGACAAUCAGCGACUUAAGGACGAGAACGGAGCGCUCAUCAGGGUCAUCUCCAAGCUCUCCAAGUGAGGGGCCACGCCCCCUCGCAGCCACGCCCCUCACGGCCACACCUCCUCACGGCCACGCCCCCGCACGGCCACGCCCCCUCACAGCAACGCCCCCGCACGGACGCGCACAGACACACACAGACACACAGACACACAGAUAGACAC